UGGCAGCCACAGUGGAUUUGAAUUAGCCAAAGUGGAGUGUGUAUCUUGUGCUGAGCUUGAGUAGUGGUCUCUGGUAAAUAAAGUUUUGCCUUCUGACUUUGGCAGCCAGUCAGCUUCUGAAAGACUGACCUUGGCAAGCUUUGCAUUAGGGAGCUCUGUUCCUGGGAACAAGAUAGACAAGCUGCACACAGUUCCUGGAAACAAGAUAAGCAAGCUCCCCGCUAACCUGGGAGCCAGAUAGCUGGUUCCAUGCAAACUUGAGUGAAUUCUCGGACGAGCCGCCAGCUGACGCAGAUGACGCAGAUUUUUUUUACAAUAAAAAAACUUCCUUGUUUUCUCCUGCUUUUAUAUAGUUGGCUCUCCCUUCAAUAAAUUGGCACCUUGAUCAAUGACUUGGUGUCCUUCUUCGUGUUGCCUUGUUCUAUCUCCCAGCCCUCCUCUCAGGUGGUAUCUAAGUGUGGCUGCCGGCAGCCACAGGUGGUGCCAAAACCCGGGAACCUGAGGCGGAGGACCAGCUGAAGCAAGUUAUAUGGACCACAGGAACACGCACAAAGUAACUAAGGUUAAAGAUGCUGCUCUAUGGCUGCCAGAGAGAAUGAUGCAACAAGUGGAUUACAUCCAAAAACACGAUCAUUCCCCAAGUGAUGAUAUUGCUGAUCCUGCUACAGCUGAUUCAUCCAGUAAGGAUUAAAUUACACCUUUGGGCCUUAGUGCCCAACCCCCCUCUUGUUGCUGUUCUGGUACUAUUCAUCUUUAUAAUUGCCAGAUGUGUCCACUCAGCUUGACAGCACCAGGUUAGAUUUAAUGACACCACGAACAAAGUCCUUUUGGCCAUUGAACAGCAGCAUGCUGUAAGUCCCUCGCCCCAGGUAGGGGUUUGGCUUGCCCAGCUCAAAUGUCAGCUUUAACCUCUCCUUUCCUGUGCAUGGGCCGGUUAGUCAAUGAUGCAUAACGGGUGAUUGAUAAGUACUCACCUAAGACAGAAAGUCCCCCUAUACGCGGGAUUCUCCCAUGACAGGUAGGAUAUUUAUUUGAAAUCACCCCACCUAAGACAGGCAUGGUCCUUUUGUUUUAAUUUAAAAGGGAAAAAUUGUGGCAGCCACAGUGGAUUUGAAUUAGCCAAAGUGGAGUUCGUAUCUGGUGCUGAGCUUGAGUAGUGGUCUCUGGUAAAUAAAGUUUUGCCUUCUGACUUUGGCAGCCAGUCAGCUUCUGAAAGACUGACCUUGGCAAGCUUUGCAUUAGGGAGCUCUGUUCCUGGGAACAAGAUAGACAAGCUGCACACAGUUCCUGGAAACAAGAUAAGCAAGCUCCCCACUUCCCUGGGAGCCAGAUAGCUGGUUCCAUGCAACCUUGAGUGAAUUCUCGGACGAGCCGCCAGCUGACGCAGAUGGAUGUUACAAUAAAAAAACUUCCUUGUUUUCUCCUGCUUUUAUAUAGUUGGCUCUCCCUUCAAUAAAUUGGCACCUUGAUCAA